UGUGUCCACAUGGAACUGACAGACAUAGAAGUGUGUCUAGGCAACUUACCUUGAUGGACUUCGUUUCCUCUAGAUCAUUCAGGAAAUACUGAACUCAGAGUGCCAUAAAUUGUGGAAAUAUAAGGGCAAGCGUCUCUGUGAGAACCUGGUGUCAUGCUUCUGAUGAGUAUAAGAAGUAUGAACAAGCAAGAAUGGCCGAGGAAAUGCCGCAGGAGCCAUGGCCAAAGACCUGCCAGACACGCUUGUGUGUAAAGCCGAGCCUGUGAUACUGGCGAAGGUUAGACAGACAGCAGCUUAGGAGAUCAAGACGCGGCUAUACAUCGAAUGAAAAGUAUGUGGAUGAACCAAAAUCAUCACGCUCUCCCUUCUCUGGCCAGGCUGGUGCUUCAGGAGCCCCUCCACCUGCAGCCAGGAUCGAGAACCCCACUUCGGAGGUAGGAUGGACUAGAGCGUCCUGAGGCCCAAGGGCAAUGCUGGGGUAUGUCCGAGGCAGAUGGACUGGCCAGAGUCCUUCUGACUAGACUGUUUCAGUUGAGACGGAUGAAACCAGAGGAAGCCGGGACGGGGAAGGCCAGGGGCGCCGUCGUUCAUGUCGCUGUCAGGAGGGUACAGAAGCGGCUCUUCGGCGACUCAGGGACGUUUUCCUUUGCCAUAAGCAAAACCUCUUUAUCUAUGUCACAGGAGAAGAAGGGGAGGUCUGGAUAAAAGGCCGGUGCCCUCCUGGCCACGCCUCCCUCCACAUGAGUCAAGUGCCCAUCAUGGCAAAGGGGGAUGCAGGCAAAGGGGUGUUGGCCCCUUGAAAUCUCAUUCAUUCUCAAACCAAAGC